CUACGGGAGGCAGCAGUGAGGAAUAUUGCACAAUGGGGGGAACCCUGAUGCAGCAACGCUGCGUGGAGGAUGACGCAUUUCGGUGUGUAAACUCCUUUUAUAUGUCAAGAAAAUGACGGUAGCAUAUGAAUAAGCACCGGCUAACUCCGUGCCAGCAGCCGCGGUAAUACGGAGGGUGCAAGCGUUACUCGGAAUCACUGGGCGUAAAGGACGCGUAGGCGGGAUAUCAAGUCAGGUGUGAAAUCCUACAGCUUAACUGUAGAACUGCACUUGAAACUGGUAACCUAGAGUAUGGGAGGGGGAGAUGGAAUUAGUGGCGUAGGGGUAAAAUCCGUAGAUAUCACUAGGAAUACCUAAAGCGAAGGCGAUCUCCUGGAACAUAACUGACGCUAAGGCGUGAAAGCGUGGGGAGCAAACAGGAUUAGAUACCCUCGUAGUC
rnacentral:rRNA from 1 species